UUCAGGGCUGUGCCGAGACAGAGUCCAGCCAAAACAGUGCUUUGCAGAAGAUCUCGCUCGCCGGACCGAGACAGUAGUUGCUCAAAUUUAUUUUCUUUUUGAAAAUGUGCCUGUAAGGGAAUAGGGGAGGGUGGAAGAGCAUAUUUAUCAGAAUACCAGAAGACACCUUUCUCGAAACAAAGGCAAGGGGGAAUCAUCUCAAUUGCAAAUCCGUCAGGCAGGGACCAAAUAACAAUAUUUAUAGGAAGGCAUUCAAAACCACAAUGUGCUUAAAUAACAGCAACAAAUGCCUGCUACAGUUGCUGCAGCGCAGCUUAAUAAAAAAUUAGCCUUAGUGACAGUCUUGUCAACAUCUUAAGUAAAUUAUCAUAGCGCUGGUCUUUGGAGAAGAGAAGCCACACUCCUUGCUAAAACACCUCCUAUCAUUAAUCUUAAACCACUUGAAGAUUAUGAUGGGAAGAACGGGAUCAGUAACCAUUAUAAUCGCAAAUUGCUGUUAAAAACUCCGCUGUUUAUUUUUGCAACCAAAGCGAAUGUAUCUGGGAAAUGCAGAAAAGGGAAGAAAGGAAAACACACGAAAGGCAGAACAAUUGAGGCGAAUCCUGUUGCAACCUCGAUGAUAAACACAUGGAAAAAGCUGUUACUGCUCUGUGGAUUUGAUGGAAUUUGGGUAGACAGUAGAAAAAUAAACAAAACGAUGGCUCCGCACCAGUUCUGUAAAUGCACCGGUACACUCGAGGAAAGGGUUUGUCAGAGAGGGAGAAUCUGCUGGUUUAGGGACACCCGACCUGGAAUGUUAUCAACGGAUCUUUACACCUUCAAUGAAUCCGCAAAUCGAUGUGAGCUGGGCACACGUCUGAAUACAAUCAAACCCAGGCAGCAAAAUACUGGUUUUAGAAGACCGUGAGUUAGUUUCCCGCAUGCUGAUACGAUUAAUUUAGGUGCGGAGGUCACAGAUCCGAGGGAGAAGGAAACGGCUGAUUUCGCCAGAAAACGCUUCCCCGGCGCAGCCCGCGCCCAGCCUCCACCCAAGGCAGGCCCAGUGCUGUUUUGCUCCUGCACCAUCCUGCGCGGAGCGCCCGUCCUGCUCCCCUCCACCGAGUUCCCUGAGCACACCGGGUGGCCGAGCACCUUCUCAAGCCAGUGGCGUGCCGUGCUCGGGUCCCUUCAUCUUAAAUAAAAACAAAGCCAGCAGCUUAACAAGGAAUAACGUGGUCCCAGAGUGAAACUCCGCUCGCUCUGUUUAUGUUGUACAAGUCUACACGGGCCCUCACAUUCUAGCUAUUUGAAAUGAUGUGUAACUAGGAGGAGGUCACAGGUGACUGGCAAGUUCAACGUACUUAGCUCAAUUAUCCAAGUUCCAUUUCCAAAUUGUGUUCAAUUUGAUCUUCCUGCCUCCAUCCAAAUUAUCUUAGAGAAAAAAAAAAAUCAAAUGAAAGCAGACAAUUUAAGCCAAAUCCUGUACACCAUUAUUUAUAUGCAAAAUCAUUUUUGUGAUAUAUACUCCCCUUAAUGGUUAUGGGAUGCCAGAUCUUUCCAAGCGGAUUUACAAACCCAGCCAUCAAAUUAUUUCAAGGGCAGGCCUAUUAGGGACAAAAAUAAUUAUGAACUUUCAGAAGCUUUGUGAAAAAAUAAGUUUCUGAAUGUUGUCUCUUUAAAUUUUACUUAAGUUUUGGUUUUAAUUUAAGCCUGGAGGCACAGUAGAGUCUAAUAAGGAGUUUGGAAAAUAAUGCGCUGUAAUCCAGUGCUGAGCUAUUUCUCCAUAAAAUAUGGAUAAGGAAUCAAUUCAUAAGCGCAAAUAUCUACUAGGACUGAGUUUUAACAUAACAUUUCACAUGAGCAUUCUUACAUGCAUUAUUAAGGAGAUAACAAAAGUGCUUGAAAUCAAGCUCUAUACAGUCACAUCUGGAAAUGCUCUUUUCUGUCUAAUUUUCAUUUUUCUGCCUUGAAAAAAUGUUAGAAGAAAAACUAGUCUGUCCCCUUGUAUAUUAACUGUUACCAUCAGCUUUUAAUCAGCAACAUAUAUAGUUAGAUUUACAGAAUCCAUUCCAUGUUGCCCCUUUUAAAGAACAGUAAAAUGAAGAUAGUAUCUUUAUUCAUUUAUAGGAGCUGAUGUUAAAACCAAAACCACACACGAAUAGCACAUACAUUGCUUUACACAUACAGACAGGCGUGUAGAUACGUAGGCACAGAACACUUAACACAUGGAAGGACGUCACGGCCAUGUGGUGGAAACCAUAACAAAAAGUACCUGUGCGUUUCACCAGACCCUAAGCCAGACAUCAGCAGAUAAGAAGUGGUCUCCGGCAAAUUAGUUUAAAAUCAGACACAGCUAAUUUCUGGAGGUGUUGGAACUCUAGCAAGCUUUGCUGCACGAUGAUUAAUCGCUGUCUGUUUCAAAGGAAGCUCUUAAGGCUUUUCAGUCAAAGAAAGGAUUACCACUAAGCAAUGAAGGGUUAACAAACGCCCCGCAGGUCGCAAAGAGUUGAUAUGGGGUUUUGGAUUUGGGUUUGGGUUUGUUUGGUUGUUGGUUGUUUUUUUUUGCUAAUGUAUAAUUUAAUGGAAUUAUAUUCUGAGGACAAAGAUAAAAAAAGUCUCUAAGAUCUGCUACUACUUUUUUUUAAAAAAAAAAUAAUUAUAUUUUUCCUUUGAAUGGAAAGGCAAGCAAAGUAUUUUCCAAACAAAAUCAGCAAAGAUUAUUUAGAAGAGAAACCGAAAGCACUGUUUUUUUUAAAUACUCUGGAGUUUUCUGAAGAACUCUGAUGUACUCACAUUCUUAUCACAACUAUUUUCCUUUUACUAUUGUAAGUGGAUAUUCAAGCUAAAUUGAUGCUUUAUGUAUAUCCUGUCUCAAUUUGUAACACACUAUUCUUUGUAAGGAGAUAAUUUGAAAAAAAAAAUACAAAAAAGAAGCAGCGAUACCACUGACAACAAUUUACUUAAAUUCACAAACCUUGAAAUUGAUGCAUCUCCUAUCAAUCAUAGUCAGAAGCCACAGUAAAACACAUCCAACAUUUGUAUAUCAAAACUGGGACUAAAAAAACACCCUGUUUUGUUCAAUUUAAAUGUCCUUCAACAUGUUGUCAUUUUACACGCCGAUAUUACUGGGGUAUUUCUACUAUGGGUUAGCUUUCUUCUGUCAAACAUAUGCAGGACAGUAACCUUGCAAAAUUAAAGUGCAUGCCAUUAUACUGCACAGAUGUUUGUUCUCACUCAGUUACUGACAAUGAAAUACUUAUUAAAUAAUAAUAAGGAGAUAUUGACUUCUCUAUUCUGUCGAUAUGAAGAUCUGUUGAUCUGUGAGGUUAAUAUUGAUAGGGCAGAGUGAGGUAAACAUUUCAUCAGGAGGGCAAAUAAAACCCAAUACUGGCAUAAAAAACAUAAACCCCGCAACGUUGUACGUAGACAGAAACAAAUCCUUUUCGUAUUUAUUGGGUAUACCAGCAGCAGUUCAACCUAUCAGCCCACGCAAGUUAAGGCUGAAGUUCUCCACACCCCGUUCAGGAAACAUAUUCCAAAAAUGUCUAUCACAGGUAUUUAAAACUGAGCUCAAAUGAUGCCGAGCGCUUGGGGUCUUUAGCCAUGCUGCACGUUCUGUUGCGAAUGGCACGUUUCCUUUAAGUCUUACUGGAAGGCUCUACAUACAAGCUCAAUGUUCUUCACAUGAAGGGGAUUUAUAUUUGAGCUGGAGAAUUGCUUUUUUUUUUUUUUUAAUAGGAUGAGCUCUCUGUCAAAGUAUUAUUUUCAUUUGUUGCCUCAUCAAGAUGUCACUGCAAGUUCCCUCUCUUUACCCUCUGCCACAGAACACAAUAGUGUACAUGAGUCGAACAAUACAAAGAGCCAUUUAACUUGAUGUCUGGCAGAAGAAGCUACUUUCUUGUUCAUUAUUAUCUUUAGAUUUUCCUUCAUUCUGUUUAAGGGAAGCUCAGGGUUGUAUGUUUUAGAAGAAUAUUCCAUCAGUCAGGUAGGUCUCAUACUCUGACAGCAUUAUUUCAGCAUGUUGUUUUUAAUGUAUGGCACUUGUACACGUAAGCAAUCUGUGUAACUUGCUUCUGGGCUUUUGAACAGAAAUUAAAGACGUGACCUAACACGUAAGACAAUAAGAGGCCAUACGUUUUUUGGAUACAAGCGCCAGAAGAGAUACUUGUCAAUUUUCCCCUUUUGAUUAUUAAUUAAGGCCUCGAUCCUGCUAUUAGAUCUGCAGGGGCAAAACACGCAUGCAGAGCAGCUCUCCCCAUAGUGUGACUGUUGGCAAGAGAAGCGCUCAGUCACACAGGGCUUACUGUGAC